ACCGAUUUUCCGGAAAAAUGUCCUGCGUAAAAACUAUUUGGAAUCGUAUAUUGUAAAACGUUAUACGUUGUGCUUAUUAUUUUCACGUUUAUUUUUGGAGGUAAAACCACUACUCGUUUUUGAUUUUUAAACCGCAACUACAUUAAACAAUCUAUAAAUAGACGAAGUUUUAGUUCAAUUUUGCCUUGACGUUUUUUUUUAAUUUCCGUCAACCCGUCGACGAGAUAUUCGGCUAUUAUAUUUUCGUAGGAGGCGAGUAUAGUGCGGGGAACAUCGUUUGUGCGGCGUGGCGUUUGAAUAGUGCUUCGCAUGAUGUCUCG